UACGGAGGGAGCUAGCGUUGUUCGGAAUUACUGGGCGUAAAGCGCACGUAGGCGGCUUUGUAAGUUAGAGGUGAAAGCCCGGGGCUCAACUCCGGAACUGCCUUUAAGACUGCAUCGCUUGAAUCCAGGAGAGGUGAGUGGAAUUCCGAGUGUAGAGGUGAAAUUCGUAGAUAUUCGGAAGAACACCAGUGGCGAAGGCGAAUCCCUGGAAAAUACCUGACACUGAGGAGCGAAAGCCAGGGGAGCAAACGGG
rnacentral:rRNA from 1 species